AUGCUGUGGUCAAAAACUUAAUCAGUGUACAUUAUGAUGGGAUUUUUUAUGCAGGUUUGUACAAUAGCAUAUAACUUAUAGGCCUAAUUUAUAUAUACUCAAUGUUUAACAUUUUUGACAAAUUAUUUUGUGAAAUAAAUAAAAUGACCAAUUUAUUUAGACUGUGCAGUAACAUGUUGUUAUGGUUUAAUAAUUUAUUUGUAACUAAUAAUCUUAAAAAAGCCCUCUGGUGACGUCAGUCAUUGACAAGGACAUCGUCAUGGACCGGUGGUGAAGAGCCUCGAGAGUGAAGGUUAAUUUUUCGAAAGGAGAAGUCCACUAUUUCAGCUUCAUCAUUCAGCCUGGAAACUGAACUGCUUCAUAAAACUUGUGCUUGAAAAGUGUCAUGGGACCCAUAUUAAGUUUCCAACUUUGAUCUGCUGCACACAAGUAGCUUUGAAGAAGAAGGAUCCCAGCUUAAAGAAAAACAUGUGUCACAUCCAUAAUUGUUUGACAUCAUCUUCAAGCACACCUGGAUUCCUUGUUGCAAUGUCUUCAAAACAAAUGUAAAAAUGAAAGGAUUUCAGUGGUGAGCUCAUAUAAUGGGAUCAAAAGGAAGUGAACUGGACUGUGAGGGACUUAACACAAGGAAAGUUCAUUUCAAUACAUUUUAUGUCAAGAUUAAUUCUGUGAUUUAAAUUCAUAUUUACACACUCUACAAAUGCUGUCUUCCUACCUCAGAUUGUGAUGGACCUAGAAUGCGACACCGUUUACGAAUAAGUCAAGAACCAAAUGAAACACUAUUUUCCAGAGUACAGAUUAUGGAGGGGUCUGCCAAACUAAUAGAGCAGUUUCUUCUUCUUGGAGUGCCACAGCUUAAAUCCAAAGAUCCUAACAGCUCUCCUGAUUCCGUCAAGGCUUGAAGUGUCAGCAUUACGAUGGCCAACACUCGCUCACUAUCCUUCUGCUCCCUCAUUUAUCAGAGGCACCACAGUAGAAUGAAUUAGCAAUUACUCUUCACUUUCCAGCCGCAACCCAGCACUGGGAAACACCCAUACACUCUCUCAU